rnacentral:rRNA from 1 species
CAAUCAAACCGGGAGAUAGCUGGUUCUCCCCGAAAGCUAUUUAGGUAGCGCCUCGUGAAUUCAUCUCCGGGGGUAGAGCACUGUUUCGGCUAGGGGGCCAUCCCGGCUUACCAACCCGAUGCAAACUGCGAAUACCGGAGAAUGUUAUCACGGGAGACACACGGCGGGUGCUAACGUCCGUCGUGAAGAGGGAAACAACCCAGACCGCCAGCUAAGGUCCCAAAGUCAUGGUUAAGUGGGAAACGAUGUGGGAAGGCCCAGACAGCCAGGAUGUUGGCUUAGAAGCAGCCAUCAUUUAAAGAAAGCGUAAUAGCUCACUGGUCGAGUCGGCCUGCGCGGAAGAUGUAACGGGGCUAAACCAUGCACCGAAGCUGCGGCAGCGACACUCAGGUGUCGUUGGGUAGGGGAGCGUUCUGUAAGCCUGCGAAGGUGGCCUGUGAGGGUUGCUGGAGGUAUCAGAAGUGCGAAUGCUGACAUAAGUAACGAUAAAGCGGGUGAAAAGCCCGCUCGCCGGAAGACCAAGGGUUCCUGUCCAACGUUAAUCGGGGCAGGGUGAGUCGACCCCUAAGGCGAGGCCGAAAGGCGUAGUCGAUGGGAAACGGGUUAAUAUUCCCGUACUUGGUGUUACUGCGAAGGGGGGACGGAGAAGGCUAUGUUGGCCGGGCGACGGUUGUCCCGGUUUAAGCGUGUAGGUGUGUGUUCCAGGUAAAUCCGGUUCACUUUAACACUGAGGCGUGACGACGAGGCACUACGGUGCUGAAGCAACAAAUGCCCUGCUUCCAGGAAAAGCCUCUAAGCAUCAGGUAACAUCAAAUCGUACCCCAAACCGACACAGGUGGUCAGGUAGAGAAUACCAAGGCGCUUGAGAGAACUCGGGUGAAGGAACUAGGCAAAAUGGUGCCGUAACU